rnacentral:rRNA from 1 species
AUACGGAGGGUGCAAGCGUUAAUCGGAAUUACUGGGCGUAAAGCGUACGUAGGCGGUCCGUUAAGUUAGACGUGAAAGCCCCGGGCUUAACCUGGGAACUGCAUUUAAAACUGGCGGACUAGAGUUGAGUAGAGGGGAGUGGAAUUUCAGGUGUAGCGGUGAAAUGCGUAGAGAUCUGAAGGAACACCAGUGGCGAAGGCGACUCCCUGGACUCGAACUGACGCUGAGGUACGAAAGCGUGGGUAGCAAACGGGAUUAGAUAACCGAGUAGUCC